GGGUCAGGGUGAGGGGACCCUAGUAGAGGAUGGAGAAGAAUAUCAGCUGUGGCCCCCAGACAGCUGGGCCCACUGUGCUGCUUUGCCUGGAGGGGUGUGGACUUCACCUCCCUGCUAUGCUUUCCACAAAGGCAUGCAGAUGCAAAUGAAGGAGGAGAGAAAGGCAUGCCCGCAGUGCCCGCAGAAGAGCAGUCCUUCCCCUGGCUGGGGGUCAUUUGCGUGUCUCUCUGUCUCCUAUCAGGCUGAGAGCAGUGAGAGAUGAGGUUCUCCGUGGAGUUAGGCACUCCUCCUAGACUGCCCCUUUCUACCCAAUCCAACAAAUCAGAAAUAUACCACUGGGAUAACAUUUCCUGUCUCUCACCAUUCAUAUCAUUUGGCAGAUUCCGUGACCUUAAUAUCUUUCCAUGCCUUCUACUGUUACUGAUCUCCACUGCAGCAUCCUGUUCUGGAUGGCUUCAUUGGGAAGUCUAUGUAUUUUCUCUAGCUUCAGGCAUAGCUGUAUCCAGGAGUUCACAAAGUAUCUCCAGCCUGGAUUCAGGAUUUCAGG
rnacentral:lncRNA from 1 species